AGUGAACGCUGGCGGUAGACCUAACACAUGCAAGUCGAACGGCAGCACAGUAAGAGCUUGCUCUUACGGGUGGCGAGUGGCGGACGGGUGAGGAAUACAUCGGAAUCUACUUUUUCGUGGGGGAUAACGUAGGGAAACUUACGCUAAUACCGCAUACGACCUACGGGUGAAAGCAGGGGAUCUUCGGACCUUGCGCGAUUGAAUGAGCCGAUGUCGGAUUAGCUAGUUGGCGGGGUAAAGGCCCACCAAGGCGACGAUCCGUAGCUGGUCUGAGAGGAUGAUCAGCCACACUGGAACUGAGACACGGUCCAGACUCCUACGGGAGGCAGCAGUGGGGAAUAUUGGACAAUGGGCGCAAGCCUGAUCCAGCCAUACCGCGUGGGUGAAGAAGGCCUUCGGUUGUAAAGCCCUUUUGUUGGGAAAGAAAAGCAGCAGGUUAAUACCCCGCUGUUCUGACGGUACCCAAAGAAUAAGCACCGGCUAACUUCGUG
rnacentral:rRNA from 1 species